GUUGAGACGACGAAGCUGAACUGUUGUAAGGAAAUUCUCACUGCAACCCAGUGGUUGCUGAGUAUUGAGGGUCAAGUUGUUAUGAAUCCACACCCCAAUUUUAUGGCUGGAUUUGCUGCUUUGUUUGCAAUUUACUACAACUUUAAUCUGGUGUACCAGCACGAGGCAUCCUGCACACUUGAAUUUGUUUACAGAUGUUUUCUUGGAAUCAACCCAUCCACUGGUACCAAGACCGACAGAAAAAGUGGAAAGAGAUCAGAGAAGAAGAACAACACUGUCAAUCCUCAUGUGUCUACUCUUCUCAGAAGGCUAAUGGACUUUGAAUGGUUGAACAUAUCUACCCUUACCUGUUAAUCUACCUUUUCACAAUAAACCAUUGAACUGAUUCUGGAUCCAGUGAUCUUACAGACACACCAGAAGAUAGGUUUUAGAAUAUUUUUACACUUUCUACAUAUUUAACACAUAGUCUGGUUGUAUAUACUGUACAAUAUAUGAUGGUCAUUACAUACACUGCAGAAUCUGGAAAAUGUUGAACAUUUAAGAAAGGCAAGAAUUUUGAAAACAAAGGUUUUGUCCUGAGCUUGAUUGGCCUGGACUUUCCACUGACUUUCCACUGAUAGUCAAAACGAUCAUACAGGUCCUGCAUAAUUGUCCUCUAUCCAGCACUUUAUAUAUUAGCCACAAACAUUUAAACAGUGAUGCUCAAAGAAGUGAACACAUUGGAUUUCUAACACUUUCAUCAUCUUCCUAAUUCUGCAAGUGUGUGUGUGUGUGUGUGUAUAUAUAUAGGCCUAUAUAUGAAUGAAUGUAUGUAUGAAUCAAUGAAUACAAAUGUAAUUUAAUUAAUGUGAAAUUGAACAUGCACUUUCCAACAUCUAUUUGCAGAAAUAACAGAUCUUUAAACACUUUAAACCUAUAAACAAUAAUGUUUCAGAAAUACCAAACUGAAUAACAGAUCUGAGUACAAACAUCAUCAAGCCCAAUUUACCGUUUUAGACUCUCCAAACAGGACUAAGAACACAUAGUCCACUCUUCAGGUCGUCAUACAACUCCCAGAAACAUGGAGGCCUCCUACAGUAGGCCACAUAAUGUCCAAGAGCAUCCUGGGUUAAGCCUUCUUUGAAAGCAAUGACUGCCCUUAAGGUAAAUCUCUUUCCUUGGAGCAUCAGACUGGAAGGAAAUUCUGUGGAGUUGCAUUUUCCCAGAGUGACACUGUGUUGGAUUUUGAAUGGGCCUGAGGCAGAGGGAUUCUGGAUGGUUAAGGCCUUCUACCACUGCGAUCUGAAGAUAAGCCAUACCAGAAGCCUGCAGUACAGCAACAGAAGUAGAAACAAAUAGAAUUUCCCUUGUUACCUGUUUGUUGAGAGCGCAGUACUGAGAGGAGCAAUGUUUUGAGAGGGUUACACAUACACGUUUUGUCAUUGACUUUUCAAUGAUUGUAGAGAUGUGACACUGUGCAUUUAUCUGAAGAGCAUCUAACUUCAAAUUGACAGCUUUGAAUAUUUCACUCAGCAGCUCUGCCCUCUGUGUGUAGACCUGAGUAUUCAGACCAUUUGUGGUGAUAGUUUUCACAAGCUGGAGGACGUUACUGGCGUUUUCACUUUGAACUAUAUUUCUGAAAGUGCCACUAUCGCAGAAAGCACAACAUAAACAUUGACAAAAAGCAUCAAAAGCACAGGUGUUUAACACAGAGAUUUUUGAUUUCCUGAAUUUAACAGGCUGUUGAUUAUUUAAUCAAUAUUAAUAUUUGAUUAUGCUAAACUUAAAUCACAUGUCAGCAGUUUGAGUGCAGCUAUGACACAUCAGAGGGGAUCUGGCCCUCCCGGUUGAGCCUGGUUUCGCCCAAGUUUUUUUUCUCCAUUACUCAAUCAUUGGAGUUUGGGUUCCUCGCCACAGCAGGGCAGUGUUGGCCUGCUCACCGGGAGACUGCAAUUAUUUAUUUAUUUAGAAAUUAUAUAUUAUUUAUUAGAAUGAUCUUACUUGUUGUAUAAAUACAAUGCACUGUGCUGUGUUUUAUCUUUUCUGUUUUUCCUGUUUUCCCUGUAAAGCUGCUUUGAAACAAUACACAUUGUGAAAAGCUCUAUAUAAGUAAACUUGAAUUGAAUUGAAUUGAUUAUUUCCGUUUUUUAACAUUUCCACUUUCAAUUUUUUCCCCUUUACAGAUUGAUCUGCUUGGAGCCAUUCAGGACAAGGAGAGAGGUACCAAUUUCUCUUCCUCUUUUUGGGCGGAACUGCUAAGCCUCUCCAGUUUUCAACCAUGUCUUCAUCUUUUGGAUGGAUGUUUGUGACAGAAUCAGACUUUGCAGAAGAGGCAGCAUCCAUUUUUGGUUUUCCAUCUACAUUGCAAGUUGUGGUGGGUAGUGUAUUUGCUCCUGUGAUGAUGACUGUGGCAAGAUCUGCAUCUUCUUGACCUUUUUUUCACCUUUUUGUUUUGCGGCACAAAUCCGCAUGUUGCCUUCAAUGAAGGACAAAUGUCGAGCAAUGAAUCGAUCCAAUAGUGACAGAAAAACUUGUCCAGUCCAAUGUCUUUAAUGCUACGACUGUGAGGUGCACUGUAUUAAGGCAGCUGCAGUGACAACAAAGGAUCCUUGUCACCUGUUCUAAAGCCUCCUCAGAGACAGACUCUUAAAUUGAAAUCAUUCUAAAGCCUCCUUAGAGACAGACUUUUAAAUUGAAAUCGCUGCUGUAGCAAUAGUUCCGAUCUCCUGUAGUCAGUGUUGUUGUAGCGGAGCUGUUUUAACUCUGGCAGUCGGCUGGGACAGAAGUUUAUAUUUCCUAUUUCAUGCUUAUUGAUGAUUAAUCAAUCGUUUGCAAGGGUAUCAUUAAGGUCAAUUAGUCAUUGAAGAAGAAGUAAGUGAAUUUUGUAUUAUGUGUUUGUAAUGUGCAUUAUAUUAUUUACUCUCGGUUCUGCGUGGACAUGCCCAGACAUGUGCUGAUCGGUAUAACCCGUUGUUAAUUAAUUGACCUAUUAAGAGGUUCAGCGUAAAUUAUCUAGAUUGAUACUGUGAUUGUUGUAUUCGGUAGUAUUCUGUUCAUUAUGUUUACCAUGCACAUCAGAAGAUAAAUGUGAAACUAUAUCGUCAGUGAAUUUGUACUCUGCGAUAUAAUUACUGAGAUAAGUGGUUGAUCACUUCUGUUAAUAGAACUGUGCACUUAGCAGUACAAUUUAAUGCAACUGAACUGAUGUAAAUGUAGACACUGCCUUAUUAAGACCCUAGUAGUUUUUUAAUUUUUUCUUGUAUUUCAUUUCUAGACUUAACGGAUACCUCUGCCUGUGAUGAUACCAUAUUUGCCCUCAAUACACUGCAUAAAACUAUAAACCUG